UGCUUCCCGUCAGCAAUGGCAAAACUACCUUGUGAUAUAUUUGCACGGACGCUUCUUGCAUGGCAGAAAUAUAUGUGCUAAAUUCUGUUUCAUGUGUAAAUAUUACGCAGUUUAGUCGCACUCUAUAUUAAAAUUGUACGCAAGGUGAAAUAUUUUUUUUAAGGAG
rnacentral:ncRNA from 1 species